rnacentral:rRNA from 1 species
ACUAAGCGUACACGGUGGAUGCCCUGGCAGUCAGAGGCGAUGAAGGGCGUGCUAAUCUGCGAUAAGCGCCGGUAAGGUGAUAUGAACCGUUAUAACCGGCGAUACCCGAAUGGGGAAACCCAGUGUGACUCGUCACACUAUCAUUAACUGAAUCCAUAGGUUAAUGAGGCGAACCGGGGGAACUGAAACAUCUAAGUACCCCGAGGAAAAGAAAUCAACCGAGAUUCCCCCAGUAGCGGCGAGCGAACGGGGAGGAGCCCAGAGCCUGAAUCAGCAUGUGUGUUAGUGGAAGCGUCUGGAAAGGCGCGCGAUACAGGGUGACAGCCCCGUACACAAAAGCGCAUGUGCUGUGAGCUCGAUGAGUAGGGCGGGACACGUGGUAUCCUGUCUGAAUAUGGGGGGACCAUCCUCCAAGGCUAAAUACUCCUGACUGACCGAUAGUGAACCAGUACCGUGAGGGAAAGGCGAAAAGAACCCCGGCGAGGGGAGUGAAAAAGAACCUGAAACCGUGUACGUACAAGCAGUGGGAGCACAGGUUUACCUGUGUGACUGCGUACCUUUUGUAUAAUGGGUCAGCGACUUAUAUUCUGUAGCAAGGUUAACCGAAUAGGGGAGCCGGAGGGAAACCGAGUCUUAAUUGGGCGUUAAGUUGCAGGGUAUAGACCCGAAACCCGGUGAUCUAGCCAUGGGCAGGUUGAAGGUUGGGUAACACUAACUGGAGGACCGAACCGACUAAUGUUGAAAAAUUAGCGGAUGACCUGUGGCUGGGGGUGAAAGGCCAAUCAAACCGGGAGAUAGCUGGUUCUCCCCGAAAGCUAUUUAGGUAGCGCCUCGUGAAUUCAUCUCCGGGGGUAGAGCACUGUUUCGGCUAGGGGGCCAUCCCGGCUUACCAACCCGAUGCAAACUGCGAAUACCGGAGAAUGUUAUCACGGGAGACACACGGCGGGUGCUAACGUCCGUCGUGAAGAGGGAAACAACCCAGACCGCCAGCUAAGGUCCCAAAGUCAUGGUUAAGUGGGAAACGAUGUGGGAAGGCCCAGACAGCCAGGAUGUUGGCUUAGAAGCAGCCAUCAUUUAAAGAAAGCGUAAUAGCUCACUGGUCGAGUCGGCCUGCGCGGAAGAUGUAACGGGGCUAAACCAUGCACCGAAGCUGCGGCAGCGACGCUUAUGCGUUGUUGGGUAGGGGAGCGUUCUGUAAGCCUGUGAAGGUGGCCUGUGAGGGUUGCUGGAGGUAUCAGAAGUGCGAAUGCUGACAUAAGUAACGAUAAAGCGGGUGAAAAGCCCGCUCGCCGGAAGACCAAGGGUUCCUGUCCAACGUUAAUCGGGGCAGGGUGAGUCGACCCCUAAGGCGAGGCCGAAAGGCGUAGUCGAUGGGAAACGGGUUAAUAUUCCCGUACUUGGUGUUACUGCGAAGGGGGGACGGAGAAGGCUAUGUUGGCCGGGCGACGGUUGUCCCGGUUUAAGCGUGUAGGUGUGUGUUCCAGGUAAAUCCGGUUCACUUUAACACUGAGGCGUGAUGACGAGGCACUACGGUGCUGAAGCAACAAAUGCCCUGCUUCCAGGAAAAGCCUCUAAGCAUCAGGUAACAUCAAAUCGUACCCCAAACCGACACAGGUGGUCAGGUAGAGAAUACCAAGGCGCUUGAGAGAACUCGGGUGAAGGAACUAGGCAAAAUGGUGCCGUAACUUCGGGAGAAGGCACGCUGACACGUAGGUGAAGUGAUUUACUCAUGGAGCUGAAGUCAGUCGAAGAUACCAGCUGGCUGCAACUGUUUAUUAAAAACACAGCACUGUGCAAACACGAAAGUGGACGUAUACGGUGUGACGCCUGCCCGGUGCCGGAAGGUUAAUUGAUGGGGUCAGCGCAAGCGAAGCUCCUGAUCGAAGCCCCGGUAAACGGCGGCCGUAACUAUAACGGUCCUAAGGUAGCGAAAUUCCUUGUCGGGUAAGUUCCGACCUGCACGAAUGGCGUAAUGAUGGCCAGGCUGUCUCCACCCGAGACUCAGUGAAAUUGAACUCGCUGUGAAGAUGCAGUGUACCCGCGGCAAGACGGAAAGACCCCGUGAACCUUUACUAUAGCUUGACACUGAACAUUGAGCCUUGAUGUGUAGGAUAGGUGGGAGGCUUUGAAGUGUGGACGCCAGUCUGCAUGGAGCCGACCUUGAAAUACCACCCUUUAAUGUUUGAUGUUCUAACGUGGACCCGUGAUCCGGGUUGCGGACAGUGUCUGGUGGGUAGUUUGACUGGGGCGGUCUCCUCCUAAAGAGUAACGGAGGAGCACGAAGGUUGGCUAAUCCUGGUCGGACAUCAGGAGGUUAGUGCAAUGGCAUAAGCCAGCUUGACUGCGAGCGUGACGGCGCGAGCAGGUGCGAAAGCAGGUCAUAGUGAUCCGGUGGUUCUGAAUGGAAGGGCCAUCGCUCAACGGAUAAAAGGUACUCCGGGGAUAACAGGCUGAUACCGCCCAAGAGUUCAUAUCGACGGCGGUGUUUGGCACCUCGAUGUCGGCUCAUCACAUCCUGGGGCUGAAGUAGGUCCCAAGGGUAUGGCUGUUCGCCAUUUAAAGUGGUACGCGAGCUGGGUUUAGAACGUCGUGAGACAGUUCGGUCCCUAUCUGCCGUGGGCGCUGGAGAACUGAGGGGGGCUGCUCCUAGUACGAGAGGACCGGAGUGGACGCAUCACUGGUGUUCGGGUUGUCAUGCCAAUGGCACUGCCCGGUAGCUAAAUGCGGAAGAGAUAAGUGCUGAAAGCAUCUAAGUACGAAACUUGCCCCGAGAUGAGUUCUCCCUGAGACUUAGAGUCUCCUGAAGGAACGUUGAAGACGACGACGUUGAUAGGCCGGGUGUGUAAGCGCAGCGAUGCGUUGAGCUAACCGGUACUAAUGAACCGUGAGGCUUAACC